rnacentral:tRNA from 1 species
GACGGAGGGGCGAUAAUUUGCGACUACGGAUCGUCAAGUUGCUUUAUACCGUUUGG